rnacentral:rRNA from 1 species
CAGUAGCCGCAGUAAUACGUAUGUGGCAAGCGUUGUCCGGAAUUAUUGGGCGUAAGGGGCUCGCAGGCGGUUUCUUAAGUCUGAUGUGAAAGCCCCCGGCUCAACCGGGGAGGGUCAUUGGAAACUGGGAAACUUGAGUGCAGAAGAGGAGAGUGGAAUUCCACGUGUAGCGGUGAAAUGCGUAGAGAUGUGGAGGAACACCAGUGGCGAAGGCGACUCUCUGGUCUGUAACUGACGCUGAGGAACGAAAGCGUGGGGUGCAAACAGGAUUAGAUACCCCCGUAGUCCCUGUCUCUUAUAC